GCGAGCGGCCAUGGUGGCCGGGGACACACCCAGACCCAUUCCGAACCUGGAAGUUAAGCCCGGCCACGUUGCACGGAGUACUGAGCUCCUCAAGGGCUCGGGAAACGUGCAAGCUGCUAAGC
rnacentral:rRNA from 1 species